rnacentral:rRNA from 1 species
GAGUUUGAUCCUGGCUCAGAGUGAACGCUGGCGGCAGGCCUAACACAUGCAAGUCGAACGGCAGCGCAGCAGUAGCAAUACUGUGGGCGGCGAGUGGCGGACGGGUGAGGAAUACAUCGGAAUCUACCUUGUCGUGGGGGAUAACGUAGGGAAACUUACGCUAAUACCGCAUACGACCUACGGGUGAAAGCGGCGGACCGCAAGGCGUCGCGCGAUUGGAUGAGCCGAUGUCCGAUUAGCUAGUUGGCGGGGUAAGAGCCCACCAAGGCGACGAUCGGUAGCUGGUCUGAGAGGAUGAUCAGCCACACUGGAACUGAGACACGGUCCAGACUCCUACGGGAGGCAGCAGUGGGGAAUAUUGGACAAUGGGCGCAAGCCUGAUCCAGCCAUGCCGCGUGUGUGAAGAAGGCC